rnacentral:lncRNA from 1 species
AAUGUCAAAACAAACCUUUUAUUUUGGCAGGGAUUGACCAUCUUUGCCCGACGCUAAUAUAUAUUUUACUGUGUUAUGAAUUAUCACUAUCAGUUAAAGCAGUUUAUACACUCACUCUUUUGGUUUGAUUGCCAGCGUCCUCCUCUAUCAUUAUGUCUGGGAUCCCAUCUUUGUCAAACUGUCCAAACGUCGGCUCACUAGAAAAACAUUGACAUCAGCAUCAGCAUCAGCACAUCAACAUCUCCCUGUGUUCUGAGUGUGUGUUCUGGAUUGUUUCUUGUACCUGAGCAGAGUGCUGGUGUUGGUGGUCCAGGCGGUCUUCAGCUUGUCGGUUUGCAGCAGUGAAACACUGGAGUCCGUCUGGAUGAGCAGUGAUGGAGGAUUACUGCCCUGAACAGCCAACACACGCUUCAGAAAACCAGACCUAGCAGAGGAUACAGGACUCGAAACCAGGCUUAGCCAGAGCUGCCAGACGUCCCAGACUGACCGCAUAAAGCCCAGAGUCUAUGAAUUCAGAGAGAUAUUAAAGCUCCCCUUUAAAUCCGCAACACACCUGUGAGUAACAGCAGAUAUGAAGCGCCGCUGGCCGUCUUGAAGUGCAGGUGAGCGAAUACACCGUUCACGUCAACAUUGACCCUGGAGCCGAGCUGAUCACCAGAUUUCCCAGAGAAAAACACCAGUUCAGUCUAAAGGAGGGAGGAGAUCACAGUGAAUCUUCAGCGUUAGUGAGCUUUAGAGUUGAGAUCCGGGACGCUGAUCAGCGGGAGAUUUCCAUGCAUCAAAGUCGAACGCGAAUGCUGCCACAUGAUCUGACCUGAUGGAGAGGCAACGGGAACAUUUGGAUGAAAUACUGUCGCGUUAUAUUCAGUGCUGGGUUUACCUGCAUUCAAACAUGUGUUACGGCUGGCAUCAGCAUCUCUGUAGAUGAAGAACACAUCUAACACCUUGUCUUCAUUGGCAUCCUCAACAGCCAGGAAAUCAAACGUGGCUAAAACAGAGAAAUAUUCAGUAAGGAAUGGAUGAAAGUUGCUAAUAAUUCUGACUUCAACCGUAUGAGCUCUGUACUGCUGUGUUUUUCCACAUCAGUCACCUGCGUCAGGUACUGUGCGGUUCCAUGUGGACACAUAUUGAGGCCGUACGGGGCAGGGGAGGAUGAAUGAAAAGGCGAAGAUGACUGCCAGACACAGGAAGAUGGAGAGCAGGAACGCUGCUGUUCUCCAGCCGGUCAGAUGAGACAGACCCAGCUUUCCUGCGCAGCUCUUCUCCUUAGUCACGCCCCCUUCUGCCUCUCCGUCCUUUAGUGGCUCCGCCUCCCCGCCACGCCCUGAUUCGUCUGUCAUCUCAGAAGAGUCUCCACACCACUGCAGCACACACAGGUAACAUAUAAGCACAUCAUACUCAACAUUCAUGAGUAUAACUUGCUUUUGUUUUGCUUGAUUUGAUCAUGUUUCAAGAUUUUACUUAAAAUGUAAAGCGCUUUAUAAAUAAAACGUAUAAUAACUAUGAGUAUAAUUGUAAACAUGUCAAUUGUAAGCUAAGGAUCUUGUCUUUUGCUUUGAAAUAUUUAUAGUUUUUUUUAAAGAUAGUGUAAUUAAAUAUAACAUGGACAAUUAUGCUGUGACACUUGUUGUUUCAAGUAAAAUUUAUUUUCUUUGCUUAAUUUUAUCAUGUUUCUUUUGGAGAUCUUUUGAGAUUUUACUAAAGUGUAAAGUGCUUUAUAAAUAAAAUGUGUUAUUAUUAUUAUUUUUCUUUAUUUAUUUAUUAUUAUUAUUAUUAAAAGGGAAAUGAUUGAAUGAUUUAUAAUUGUAAGUAUAAUUGUAAAACUGUCUAGCUUCAGCUUAUGGUUCUUGUGUUUGUUGCUGUGAAAUCUAAAUCUGAAAGAUAACAUAAACAAAUAUAUUUCUAAUAAAAUAUUUCAAAAU